AGAGAGAGAGAGAGAGAGAGAGAGAAAAGAGCGGUGGUGUUGUGUGUGUGCUCUCAGUGUGUUCCCUGCUGAGGGCUCGAGCGCAGACCUCCGUGAGACUCGACACGAGUGUGUGUGUAUGUGUGUGUGUGUGCGUGCGUGUGUGUGCCGAGCUGUGACACACAGGAGGGAAUGACAUGAACGCUCAUGAGAGGAGGAUGGACAGAUUGAUGGAUAGAGGGAUGGACGGAUGGAUAAAAACUGCAGCAGAUUCUGAUGCUUGUGGUUUGUGUUUCAGACGCGGACAGCAAGUGUUUCUGAGAGCCGACGUCGCACCUGCUGCUGUCCUGCCCUCCCUACAGGAUGCAUUGCUGCAGUUGGCCUCCGUUGUUGAUGUCAGCAGCCUUCAGACGACCAUCAAAGAUGUGCUCAGAGUUGUCCUGCCAAACGUGGUAUGAAACUGUGAAAUCUUUUGUAGCAUUAUAAAUGUCUUUAAUGUCACUUUUCAUC
rnacentral:lncRNA from 1 species